AACACGUAAAGAACCUACCUUAUAGACAGGGACAACUAUUGGAAACGAUAGCUAAUACCUGAUAAGAAAGAAACUCGCAUGAGAGAAGUUCGAAAGUCGGAGCAAUCUGACACUAUAAGAUGGCUUUGCGGUGCAUUAGCUAGUUGGUAGGGUAAAAGCCUACCAAGGCGACGAUGCAUAGCCGACCUGAGAGGGUGAUCGGCCACAUUGGGACUGAGACACGGCCCAGACUCCUACGGGAGGCAGCAGAC
rnacentral:rRNA from 1 species